rnacentral:rRNA from 1 species
UGCGCAGGCGGGACUAUAAGUCAGUGGUGAAAUCCUACAGCUUAACUGUAGACCUGCCAUUGAAACUAUAGUUCUUGAGUACAGUUGAAGUGGGCGGAAUGUGUUAUGUAGCGGUGAAAUGCAUAGAUAUAACACAGAACACCGAUAGCGAAGGCAGCUCACUAAACUGCAACUGACGCUCAUGCACGAAAGCGUGGGGAGCAAACAGGAUUAGAUACCCUGGUAGUCC